AUCAAGGUGUAGGAUGAAGAGAUCAAGGUGUAGGAUGAAGAGAUCAAGGUGUAGGAUGAAGUGAUUAAGGUUUAAGAUGAAGAGAUCAAGGUGCAGAAUGAAGAGAUCAAGGUGUAGGAUGAAGAGAUUGAACUUUAGGUUAAAGAGAUCAAGGUGUAGGAUGAAGUGAUUAAGGUUUAAGAUGAAGAGAUCAAGGUGCAGAAUGAAGAGCUCAAGGUGUAGGAUGAAGUGAUUAAGGUUUAAGAUGAAGAGAUCAAGGUGCAGAAUGAAGAGAUCAAGGUGUAGGAUGAAGAGAUUGAACUUUAGGUUAAAGAGAUCAAGGUGUAGGAUGAAGUGAUUAAGGUUUAAGAUGAAGAGAUCAAGGUGUAGGAUGAAGAGAUCAAGGUGUAGGAUGAAGUGAUUAAGGUUUAAGAUGAAGAGAUCAAGGUGUAGGAUGAAGAGAUCAAGGUGUAGGGUGAAGUGAUUAAGGUUUAAGAUGAAGAGAUCAAGGUGUAGGAUGAAGA